AAAGCGUUCUUUGUAAUGGUGAAUGUGUCUUGAUAGUAAUGAGAAUCGAUUAUGUGCGAAAUGUUGGGUAUUGAGUGGAUAUCUUGUUCUAAAAUGUAUUUAAAUAAUAGUAUUUACUAUAUUUUUAGCUGAAAUUGGUUUAAUGUUAGUGAAGUGUUAUGAAUUAUAUUUUUAAGUGCGGUUAAAUUACUGUAAGAACACUGAAACCGUCUGCAAGCCGUACCUAAACGAGGCUGAUGCCUUCACUGGCCUUUUACCCUCAUCAAAGGCCCACUUUCUGGCUGGUGACUCGGCCACGGGGCUGCAUGUGUGUUCGACAUGGUGUCUACUCAGGGAGAGAUUAGGAUUGGUCCUUCACAUCAGUGAUGUUGUUUGAUGUGUUGCAGGGCUGGUGACUCGGCCACGGGGCUGCAUGUGUGUUCGACAUGGUGUCUACUCAGGGAGAGAUUAGGAUUGGUCCUUCACAUCAGGCAAGACUUCCAGACUACCGCAGCGGUGGAGGUGCAGGUGCAGGCGCAGGUGACCCAGAACUGAGCAAGGAGAGAGAGGAGCUACGAUGGCUACCAGCCAUGGCCCUGGACGGGGACCUGCUGAUGUACCUGCGCGCCGCGCGAUCCAUGGCAGCGUUCGCGGGCAUGUGUGACGGCGGCUCGGCAGACGACGGCUGUGUGGCCGCCAGCAGAGACGACACCACCAUCAACGCUCUUGACGUUUUACAUGACUCGGGGUACGACCCGGGCAAGGCUUUGCAAGCACUAGUGAAGUGUCCCGUUCCUAAAGGAAUUGAUAAGAAGUGGUGUGAAGAGGAGACCAAACGUUUUGUAAAAGGUCUCCGACAAUUUGGAAAGAACUUCUUCCGUAUUCGGAAGGAUCUUUUACCCCAUAAGGAUACUUCUGAGUUAGUGGAGUUCUACUACCUGUGGAAGAAGACACCAGGAGCCAACAACAACCGGCCACACCGACGUCGCCGGCAGGGCUCGCUGCGGCGCAUACGUAAUACGCGCCAGACUCGCGGUGGUACUCCGCACAACAACAGUCCGUCGGCUGACCCCUCUGCUGUUGGAGGUUCAAGGCCUUCGCCAAAUCCAAAGGAGCAAGGAGAAGGUAGUUCAGGCAGUGAGGAGGAGAAUUCUGAGGACGAUUCGGAUUCAAGAGACCAAACCAUUAAUCGCUGCCAGCAUUGUUUCUCGACUAGCUCGAGAGAGCUAGCGCCUUGUGGGCCCAAGGAACGCACACCAGUGUGUGCCGACUGCCGCGCACACUACGCCAAGGCCGGCUGCCUGCCACCGGUCUCGCGCACGGAUGCUCCCUACCUGUUCCGACCUGUGCAGACCGAAUCGCCCGAAGGUUCUCCCGGCCGAAUGAGGACCCGCAACAAGGCCAAGGAAACUCCGACGAAGGGUGGUGGUGGCAGCAGUGGUGGCCGGCCCAAGCGCAGCAGUGGUACCAACACUCCGGACCAGGAACUGGACAAGAGGGGAGGGGGAGGGGGCUGCAAGAGCCCCGGGGCCUCCAGUACUUGCUCCAACUCGCCUGGUGAACGGGCCAAGAAACGGCUGUGCGUUGACAAAAUAAAAUCAGAAUCCUCGUCUAAGUCACGCAAACGGCCACCAACAGAGACAGAGGGAGACGAUGAGAACAAACGCAAACGAGCCGAGAGCCCUUCAGAGAGUGUGACGUCGGACAGCGGCUCUGUUGCUGACGAAGCGGAGACCACUGAGCCGAGUAACCUGGACCUUGCGGAGAGCCUCAGCGAGCAUCCGCCCUCCGAGGUGCCGGCAGACGAUACCAUGCCAACAAUCAAGGAGGAGGAAGAGCCUCCUGCUCCUUCCUCCCCUCUCUCAGAAAACUCACAACUACCUGUGUUCAAAGUGGACGACUGCAAUGUAGUGUUUAAUGUGGGAGUGCCUAAGAAAGAACCUACAGAUACUAACAUUACCGUGAAGGAAGAACCCGAGAGCAAUCCUGCCCCAACAAACUUUUCACAACCUCCACCAUCCUCACCAUCGGCGGCUGAAGAGGAUGUGAAAAUUAAAAUUCCCGAUAUUAAACCAAAGCUCGAUGAUAAUUUCUUCUCAUUAUCAGUAAUAUCUGACAGAUCGGUCGAGCCCCCGAGUUCUGGCCCUUUACCAAAAGCCUUUGACGAUAUUCCCAUGCCCGGGAAGCUGACAGUAAAGAGAGAAGGGUUGUUUGAGCCCAUUCCAUCUGAAAGUGUAAUAGUCCCUAUGAUACCUACGACAGACAAUUUUGUGCCAAAGGAAGAGAUGAAUGUAAGUUCUCCUCCUCCUCUGCAGAAUCCAGUGGUGGAUCAGCGAACUGUUACUGUAACAACACAAUCGCAGACUAUAGCUGUGAACAACAUAAAACCUGAGUCCAGUGAAGAUUCUGCCUCAAGUGAGAAUUUGCGGCCUCCCUCAGCGUCAGAUCUGACAGCCCCGUCCCUCUCACCACUGCCUCUCACUGCUUACGCUCCAGCCUCUCCCAGGCAACCACCUCCUGAGUCCCAACACCAUGACGACAAGUCUGGUAUAAUCGUUCCUGCCUUCUCUGUCUCGGCGGAUGAGAAGCCCACUCUCAACAUCCCCUCCGUGCCUUCAGCACUCUCAGCCUCCAACCAUCAUUCUGGUUUCACUUCAUUUUAUCACCCUCACUUCCACUCACACCAAGGUAAAAUGAAUCCUUCUCCUCCAUCAUAUCUGAAUUCGGGUUUGCAAAGUGAGCCUCAAAAUUUAAAAAUAAAACAAGAAGUCAUACCUCCUGACUCGAUUCAACCUUCAUCUGACCCUCUUCAAUCACUGAAGGAAGUCAAAGUUCCGGGCUAUUCGAGUUCAUCUUCGAUUUCACAACCCCUAAUGCCGACAUCAAUUGCUCCCUCUUCCCAGGCAGAGCACAGCACCACAACACAGUCUUCUUCACCCUUCCAGAGUGUGGGUCCGACCGUGGAGAACAUCAAGAAGGAGCCAGAGAGUUUUCAUCCGAUUAGAACAAAUACACCAAGUAAAAGUCCUUCAGUCAAGCCAUUGGAAACUACUCCAAUCACUUCUCCAGCACCAAGAUCUUCUUCCACACAUACUCCCCCGUUCCCUCCUCCUCCACCUCCCGUCUCUCAUAGUGCUGCUAAUCUAAUUGCUCCAUCUCCGACAACAGCUAACCCCCCUACCUCACUCCCACAGCCUGUGAUGCAUCCCUCACAGCAACCGUCCCCUCUCAGUAGAGUGUCUCCAGGACAUCUAGCUCACCCUCAUGCUUUUGUACCUGCAAUGCAUCAUUCCCACCAUCUGAUCCACCAUCCAUUGUUUGCUGCCGCCGCCCAUGCUGCUGCUGUCCAUCAUAACCCUUACCACCCCCACCAUCCCUAUGCAGGGUACCCCUACCCAUUCCCGUAUGGUCCGUACCCCAUUCCACAGCCGGUGCCACCCCCAUCUCACCCCCGAGAGCCACAAAAGCGUGAGAGUCUGGAAACAACAAUGAUGACGUCGCACCACUCCUCAGUAACCACUCGUUCUCUACGAGAAGUUGAAACCAGGGAAGACUCCACCAAUCACCACACCACCCAGGAGAUUACUCAGACUCACCAUCACUCCACCUCACAUCACUCAUCCGUUCAUCACCACAGUGGGGAGAAGAACCCUCUGACCAUUAGUCAUUCGACCACAUCCAGCAGUUCAGCCAGCGUGCAGCACAAGAUCAACUCGUCCAAACGGGGCACUAGUCCAGCUGCCACUCAGGCUGCAUCGAGCUGUCACGUGUCAGCCACUCUGUCUCAGACGACAUCAUCUUCCCUGAGCACCAACCACGGCAGCAGCCAUCAGCACAGCCAUCAACACAGCCACCAGCACCACCACCAAAAUGCGGCAGGAGAACGUCUCAGUCCCUCCUCCGCCAUCAUGGGCACAUCUCCACUCCAGCUAGGAGGGUCAAGGGCAGGUGUAGGUGUGACUGGCAGCAGCAAACCUCACCCCCACCAUCCUGGACUGAUGGUACAUCCGCACCACCCCCUGCUGGCCACCCCUACCAGCUCUCUGGAGGCUCUCCGAGCCCACGCCCAGGCGGCUGCUCUCCAGAGCCCAGUGUCCUCUCAUGGUGGGAUGAUGGGACAUCCUGCUUUCCUGUCACCAGACAGAGGGGGAGAGGAGGUGAAGCCUGAGCCUCUAACAGUGUCCGGAGAUGAAGGAGGGGUCCCAGAGGAGGAGGAGGCACCAUCACCCACCCAGCACUCUCGUGGCCCCAGCCCAGAGCCCAAGGUGGAGGACACGGAAUGUCACCGCAGCCAGUCUGCUAUAUUCCUCCGACACUGGAACAGAGGGGACUACAACUCCUGCACUCGCACUGAUCUUAUCUUCAAGCCAGUGCCAGACUCUAAGUUGGCCCGCAAGCGAGAAGAGAGGAUCAGGAAGCAGGCGGAGAAGGAACGAGAAGAGAAAGAGAAGGCUCAGGCGAGAAAAAUAGCAACCCCUGAGAAACCUGAGGCAUCCAAGCCACCAUCCCGGGGACCAAUUGAGUCAAUCACUUCCCCCUAUGACAGGUUCAAUCCCAGGGCUGGAUAUCCAGACACACCAGCUUUGCGUCAACUCAGUGAGUAUGCCAGACCACACGGUGGCUUCUCGCCAGUCACGUUGCAACGUUCUGCCACCCUGGGUCUGCCGCCUCAGUGUAUCGACCCCAUGCUGCACUACCAGAUCAAUUCCAUGAACUCCAUGUACGGCCCUGCUGCUAGGGAUAGGUUGGAACUUGAGCACUUGGAAAGAGAGAAAAGAGAAAGAGAACUAAGAGAAUUGAGGGAGAGAGACCUCAACGAUAGACUCAAAGAGGAAUUGAUGAAAAACACACCGGGAGCCUCCCGAAUCUCUAACCCUUUAGAUCCUCAUUGGUUGGAACUGCAUAGAAGGUACCCGGGUCUGGGGCCAGGCGGUCUGCAUCAGUUCAGUCUAUACCCGGGACCAGGAGGACCCAGUCAAGCAGCAGCUCUGUCUCAGUUGGAGCGUGAGAGACUGGAGAGGCUAGGAAUCCCAGCUCCGGGAUCAGCUGGAUCAGCGCCUCCCACUUCCGGGCCACCUCCAGCCCCACCGCCUGCUCCAACCUCCGCAUUAGAUGCUGAGAGGCUAACGUUGACCACAGAUCCUAUGGUGCGACUACAGAUGGCUGGCAUCUCACCAGAGUACCACGCACAUACGCACGCCCAUACACAUGCUCACUCCCACACACACCUACACCUUCAUCCUGGGCAGCAGGCAGGGCAAGGACAGGCUCCCCCCGCGCCUCCUGACCCAACCACUGCCUUUCCUCUUCCAGCAAGUGGUAGUGCAGGAUACCCAAGGCCAAGCCUUUUACCGCCCCGCGAGGCAGCUCUCGCUCUUCACCACCCAUCGGAGUUGUUGCCCCGACCUUACGCUGACCAGCUUGCUCAUCAGGCUGCCGCCCAUGAGCACUUGCAACGUCAGAUACUGCUGGAAAGGGAGAGGUUCCCUCACCCAUCCCUUGUUGCCCAUCAUGAGGAGUAUUUACGGUACAGUGUUCACUAUUGGAAUACAAUACUUGUGCACUACCAAAGGCAUCAGAAUCAGAGCUGAACUGGAAGUCACAGCAACAGCGAGAGCGUGAGUUGAAGGUGAGAGCUUUGGAGGAGGCUGCCAGAGGUUCCAGACAAUAGGCUAAAAUGAUCUGAAGCUGGACUCUAACUUCAGUAUUUUAAGUAUGAAAAAAUUGUUAUUUUAUAAAUAUCUUUGCAUUUUUUAUGUCAUUGCUAGAUUUUUUGUAUGUUGACUUGAAGUUUAUUUGAUAACAACAGUUGAAAUGUUUCAACCAAUUUGGCUGUCGGCCAUUUAGUGAUAUAUUUUAAUUUUUAUUCAUACAAGUUUUGUUCAGUCUUUCUUUUUGUGGUAUCAAAGAUGUGGUUUUCUAAUUUUUUUACUGACAUAGUUAUGUAUGAACUGGAUAACGUACAAACUGCCCAUAGGUGCUGUAAUAUGUACCACAUUCAUGUCAAUAUCUUUGUAUUAUAGAAAUGUGUAUAUACUGUUUUAUAUUCUAAAUGAUAUAUUUUUCCUAUGUUACUGAAAUUUGUAAGAUAUUUGAAUUGCUUUAGAGUAUAAAUGAUUUUUUCCACACAUAUCUCUGGACAUGAGAUGUACAUGUAACGAUGUUGCAAUACCUUUUUAUGUAGUUGAAUAAAUUUUUAUACAUCCUAAGAACAUUUUAUCUUGUUUAUUGUUUUUCAAAUAAGAUUAAAAAGUAAGAGUAAUUAACGUUUAAUGUUUUGAGUAGUUUUUUUAAAUAUUUAAUGUGAAACAAAAAUAUCAGCAUGACAGAGGUAAACCGUAAUAAAACAAGGUUUAACGUUUUGA
rnacentral:misc_RNA from 1 species